GACGAACGCUGGCGGCGUGCUUAACACAUGCCAGUCGAACGGAAAGGCCCCCACCUUGGUGGGGGUGCUCGAGUGGCGAACGGGUGAGUAACACGUGGGUGAUCUGCCCUGUACUUCGGGAUAAGCUUGGGAAACUGGGUCUAAUACCGGAUAGGACCAUGGUUUAGUGUCUCAUGGUGGAAAAAUUAUUGUUUUGGUGCAGGAUGGGCUCGCGGCCUAUCAGCUUGUUGGUGGGGUAAUGGCCUACCAAGGCGUCGACGGGUAGCCGGCCUGAGAGGGUGGACGGCCACAUUGGGACUGAGAUACGGCCCAGACUCCUACGGGAGGCAGCAGUGGGGAAUAUUGCACAAUGGGCGCAAGCCUGAUGCAGCGACGCCGCGUGGGGGAUGACGGCCUUCGGGUGGUAAACUCCUUUCGUUAGGGACGAAGCCACACCUUUUUUGGGUGUGGUGACGGUACCUUUGUUAAGAAGCACCGGCUAACUACGUG
rnacentral:rRNA from 1 species